AGAGAGGCUGCAGUGAUUCUCUGAGAAAGGCUGGGAGCUGGCUUGGGGUCGGAGGGGGGUCCGGAUAAGAAGCUGAUUCCAUCUUGUGUCAUGAUGGCUUAUUUCUCCUCAGUGAGUUCCAGAUUACGGCUUCUUGUAAAACGGAGUCCUGCACCAUUGAUAACGAUGUAGUGGAAAGUGUCUUCCCACUGAAAAGGUGGAGUGAAGAGGUAUUCAGUGAUGGCCUGAAAGGAAAAUUUUACCUCUUUUUACCAAUACACUAUUCCUGUGAUGUUUGCAACAGUAUCGUUUAUCUCGAGGGAUGCGCCUACUUCUCCUGCAUUCCACACUUUGCCUGGUAGACAUCGGGCCUGAGAGGACCACCUCAAGAGCAGCCAGAGGCGGUUCCCUUGGCCUCCUUGGAGCUUUCGAGCAAGGAAGGAGAAAAGCAGAAGGUCUAUUGGAUGAAAAACACACAAUGAGUGCUUGAAAUGUUUGUGUCCCUUUCUUUCCUCCAGACCCUUGUGAGGGGCAGAGUUUCAGUGUUUAAGGAUCCAAAGAAGAGAUUUCAUUAAAGCAUCUGUCUGUUA